rnacentral:rRNA from 1 species
GACGAACGCUGGCGGCGUGCUUAACACAUGCAAGUCGAACGGAAAGGCCCUGCUUUUGUGGGGUGCUCGAGUGGCGAACGGGUGAGUAACACGUGAGUAACCUGCCCUUGACUUUGGGAUAACUUCAGGAAACUGGGGCUAAUACCGGAUAGGAGCUCCUGCUGCAUGGUGGGGGUUGGAAAGUUUCGGCGGUUGGGGAUGGACUCGCGGCUUAUCAGCUUGUUGGUGGGGUAGUGGCUUACCAAGGCUUUGACGGGUAGCCGGCCUGGGAGGGUGAACGGCCACAUUGGGACUGAGAUACGGCCCAGACUGGUACGGGAGGCAGCAGUGGGGAAUAUUGCACAGUGGGCGGAAGCCUGAUGCAGCAACGCCGCGUGCGGGAUGACGGCCUUCGGGUUGUAAACCGCUUUCGCCUGUGACGAAGCGGGAGUGACGGUAAUGGGUAAAGAAGCACCGGCUAACUACGUG